CAUGCCAUCAGAUGCAACGUACUGGGUAUGGAAUCUUGCAUGUAUGGCAAAGGACUAGAGAGGCAGAUCCAUGGCCACCAAGCUGUUAAGCGGCAAAACUGGGGAUUCGAAUCCUGGUGUCUCAGAGAUGAAGCACUUCCCAACUAAGCCAGGGGCCCAUGACUGUAGUCACCUAACUACCUGGGAAUCUUUAAGAAACACCAAAGCCGCCGGGCGCGGUGGCUCACGCCUGUAAUCCCAGCACUUUGGGAGGCCAAGGCAGGCAGAUCACGAGGUCAGGAGAUCGAGACCAUGCUGGCUAACACGGUGAAACCCGUCUCUACUAAAAAUACAAAAAAUUAGCCAGGCGUGGUGGCGGGCGCCUGUAGUCUCAGCUACUCAGGAGGCUGAGGCAGGAGAAUGGCGUGAACCCAGGAGGCGGACGGAGCUUGCUGUGAGCCGAGAUUGUGCCACUGCACUCCAGCCUGGGGAACAGAGCGAGACUCUGUCUCAAAACAAAAAACAAACAAACAAACAACAACAACAACAAAAAACAAAGAAAAAAGAAACCCCAAAGCCUGGGCCCUGCCCUCACAAUCUCUGGAUACUCUGACCCCGUGGGUGUGGGAGUUUUCAGACCUCCCUGGGUAAUGCUGAUGCCCAGCCAGGGCUGAGCUCUCCUACACUCCAGUUCCUGCAUGCUCUGCCCUUUGCAAUACCCCGUUGUCCUCGUGGCGCUCCUGCUAUGAAUGAGCCAGCUCCCUCUAGUCUGUGAACUUCCUGACAGCAGAGUUCACGUUUUUCAUCUUUAUGUCCCCAACAUGCAGCACAAUCUCUGGCACACUUUUGGAAGAGUGCUUAGAACUCUGCAAGAGAGAGGAACUGAGACUGAGAUGAGGAAGUUUCGGGGAGGCAGACAGACUUGGCCUGCCCAAUACAUGAAGUGUUGACCGAAAGGAAGGGCUGCCCACCAUGUAUUGAGCUCCCCACUGGAAGAAGUAAUCAAGAAGAAGCAGAAGCUGAUGCUUCCUAAGGGACUACUGCCUAUGUUCAGAUUCUAUUUGUUUCUCUCCACCAUCACCAAAGUGAGCAUUUCCACCUCACAGUUCUUAUUCCUAGAGGCACAGAGUCUCCUACAGGAAAGCAACAGGGAAAUCUACUUCAGCCUCCAGCCAACCCUGUGCAGAAAUCCCCUCAGCUGCAGCUCCAUCCUCUCUGUAGUGGGGACCUUAUUCCACAUCGCGAAGUCAGCUUGGACAGCUCUGAUGACUAGAAAAUUCCUCCUUUCUUGGGUCAAGGUUCAUGCUCUGCAACUCCUGUCAUUUGGCCCUGGUUCUGCCCUCUGGAGUGGCAUCAUUCCUUCAUCCCACUCAUAGGGUUGCAUAGGCUGCAGAAAGGACUUUGGAUUUUAUGUCAAGUGAAAUGGGGGCCACAUGAAGUAUCAUUAAACCAGGGGGCAGGGAUGGCAACGUGAUUUGAUUUCUGAUUUCAAAAGAACACUGUGGGCCAGGUGCGGUGGCUCCUACCUGUAAUCCCAGCACUUUGAGAGGCUGAGGCGGGUGGAUCACCUGAGGUCAGGUGUUCGAGACCAGCUUGGCCAACAUGGUGAAACACCGUCUCUACUAAAUACAAAAAAUUAUCUGGGUGUGGUGGCGGGCACCUGUAAUCCCAGCUACUUGGGAGGCUGAGGCAGGAGAAUCGCUUGAACCCAGGAGGCGGGGGUUGCAGUGAGCUGAGAUUGCACCAUUGCACUUCAGCCUGGGCAACAAGAGCAAGACUCUGUCUCAAAAAAGGAAAAAGAAAAGAAAAGAAACCCACUGUGUUACUGUGUGGAAUCUGGAUUACAGGGGAGUAACAGGAGAACCCAGCCGAUGGGUUGGGAAGCUCCUGGAAUCAUUCAAACAAGAGAUGAUGGUAGCUUGGGCAGUGGUGCUAGCAGGGAAGAUGGAUUUGGGAUGUGUUUUGGGUACAGAGCCAGCAAGACUUGCUGAUGGAUUGGAUGUGCAUAUGCUAGUAUUUGCCUAGUAUAAGAGAAUCUUGGCCUUAUGUGUCAUCUUUAUUAACAAGAAAUAGCUAAAUUUAAAAUAUUCGUAUUUUCGUAUGCAGAGGAUGGAUAAUUUAAUCUAUUCAUGAUUACUGAGAUCGCUUUUGUUUUGAUUUCUAUCUCUGCGUUGUUGUUGCUUUUCUGGUUGUUAUCUUUAUUCUCAUUCCUGAUUUUCUAGAUUUAUUGUCUUGUUUCUUAUCUCUUCCCCUAUUUUCUUUUCCCCUUUUAAACAAGUUACUUGUAACAUAUCUGACAUACAAG
rnacentral:lncRNA from 1 species